CCCUUAGAUGUCCUGGGCCGCACGCGCGCUACACUGAUGCAUGCAACGAGUUUAUAACCUUGGCCUGAAAGGUCUGGGUAAUCUUUUGAACGUGCAUCGUGAUAGGGAUAGAUUAUUGCAAUUGUUAAUCUUGAACGAGGAAUUCCUAGUAAACGCGAGUCAUCAGCUCGCAUUGAUUACGUCCCUGCCCUUUGUACACACCGCCCGUCGCACCUACCGAUUGAAUGGCUCGGUGAAGAUCUCGGACUUCGAUAUUUAUUCUUUAUUGAGUUUAUAUUGUGGGAAGUUAUCUAAACCUCAUCAUUUAGAGGAAGGUGAAGUCGUAACA
rnacentral:rRNA from 1 species